ACUGCUCAGUAACACGUGGAUAACAUGCCCUAAGGUGGGGGAUAAUCUCGGGAAACUGAGGGUAAUACCCCAUAGGUCUAUUUUGCUGGAAUGCUAAUAGGCCGAAAACUCCGGUGCCUUAGGAUUGGUCUGCGGUCUAUCAGGCUGUAGUGGGUGUAAUGGACCCACUAGCCCGUGACGGAUAUGGGCCUUGAGAGAGGGAGCCCAGAGAUGGACUCUGAGACAUGAGUCCAGGCCCUACGGGGCGCAGCAGUCGCGAAAACUUCGCAAUGGGGGCAACCCCGACGAGGGAAUUCCAAGUGCUAGCACUUUGUGUUAGCUGUUCUCCUGUCUAAAAAACAGGAGGAGUAAGGGGCGGGUAAGACGGGUGCCAGCCGCCGCGGUAAUACCCGCGCCCCAAGUGGUGGUCGAUAUUAUUGAGCCUAAAACGUCCGUAGCCGGUCUUCUAAAUCCUUGGGUAAAUCGGGCAGCUUAACUGUCCGAAGUCCGGGGAGACUGGGAGACUUGGGACCGGGAGAGGUCAGAGGUACUUCUGGGGUAGGGGUAAAAUCCUGUAAUCCUGGAAGGACCACCGGUGGCGAAGGCGUCUGACUAGAACGGAUCCGACGGUGAGGGACGAAGCCCUGGGGCGCAAACGGGAUUAGAUACCCCGGUAGUCCAGGGUGUAAACGCUGCGGGCUUGGUGUUGGGGGUCCUUAGUGGGCGCCCAGUGCCGGAGAGAAGUUGUUAAGCCUGCUGCUUGGGGAGUAUGUCCGCAAGGAUGAAACUUAAAGGAAUUGGCGGGGGAGCAC
rnacentral:rRNA from 1 species